rnacentral:rRNA from 1 species
UACAGAGGUCUCAAGCGUUGUUCGGAUUCAUUGGGCGUAAAGGGUGUGUAGGUGGCGCGCUAAGUCGGGUGUGAAAUUUCGGGCUUAACUCCGAAACUGCAUUCGAUACUGGCGUGCUUGAGGACUGGAGAGGAGACUGGAAUUCAUGGUGUAGCAGUGAAAUGCGUAGAGAUCAUGAGGAAGACCAGUGGCGAAGGCGGGUCUCUGGACAGUUCCUGACGCUGAGGCACGAAGCCCAGGGGAGCAAACGGG